ACUAACGAUCCUCACCAACAAUUCCAAAUCAGUUCUAAGGCGUACUUUGAUCUUACCCCCUGCUCUUCAAUCUUUUCCAUUCUUUCGUUUCUUUACUUAUUUCUUUAGUUCACAUUGUUCUGCUAUUCAAGCGACCGUCUCCUUCCGGCAUCGGUGGUUCUCUGGUGAUUAAUCGGUUUCCAUUAAAGAACUCGGUAUGAAAUUGUACAUAUGUGGAAAACUAGGAAUCCUUUUACAAAAAUGGUCUGCUGCAAAGUUAUCCGGCUGCAUGUUAUGUUGAAAAGUCAUGCGGAGGAAGAAGAGUGCUUUGUGUGAAUUAAUUGGCCAUCCUUUUCUUGAGGGGCACGCUUUGUACAAUACUAUCCAGUUAUGAACAGAUAAGUAUCCAUUUUGUUUUGGACUCCACAUAAGCAAUUUUAUCACAGCUUUUCUCUCAAAAUACUUUUCUACAUGAAAUUUAACUCGACCGAAAGCUAAAUAAACCAUAACAACAACAACAACAACAAAUAAAGAAAAUUUAAGAGUGCAUCAUGCUGCUGUUACAGUAUGCUUCACUGUGAUUUGAUAUAUGUACUGGUGCCUGCUGGCUAAAGAAAUAAAUGAAUGAAUAAAUAUGUAAUUAUUGUAGAUAUGAAGAAGGAAAAAAAGGAGUCUGUACGCCUGUAUGAAUUUGUGUUGAGUUGGCAACGUUUAAUCGUAGCAAUUUAUGAAAGUGGGCACGUAAUUAGGCACGUCACUUGGUCAAUAAAAGCUAUUAAAUUCAGUGUCUUAAAAAGAAAAUGAUACUUCGCUUCGUCUGCGUCAGCUGACCUCGCCCAUCACCUCUUCUGGAUUCUUCACAUUCUCAACUUAAGUACAAUACUUGGCAAAAAGAAUUACGUUCAAGAUAUUGCACUGCAGCCCCUCGUGAUUCUCAUCUAUGACCGUCGGUUAGCUGCUGCCCAUGUUAAUGUUCCUCACAUUGUAAUGUAUUUAAAAUGUAUCGUAAUGAACACAAGUUUAUUUCAAAUUCGCAUCCAAUCAAAUAAUUUGUGUUUGUAAAACGCAUUCAAUUUGCUCUUUAAUUUUAAAAGCAUCUGACCAAAUGAUGUUGGAAACAUGAAGAUGAAAAUGAAAUUCAUUUAUGGACCUUUCUAGUUGGCAUGAAAAAUUUUAAAUUCUUGCAUUUUUGUGCAAGGGGCAAA